rnacentral:lncRNA from 1 species
CUAGGGGUCAAAUCAGAACUCUAGCUGCUGGCCUACACCAUAGCCACAGCAAUGCCAGAUCUAAGCCACAUCUGCAACCUACAUCACAGUUCAUGGCAUGGCCAGAUCCUUAACCCACUGUGCAAGGCCAGGGAUCGAACCCGCAUCCUCAUGGAUACUAGUCAGGUUCAUUUCUGCUGAGCCAUGACAGGAACUACCAGGACUUUUUAAAAAUAUAGAUACACACAAGUUUUAUUGCAUUUGAAGUCAGGAGAGCUUCACCAAUGCACCCUUUAUAACAAAUUCAUUUCUAGGUUUUCAAAUGCAUGCACGGCAAUCUGCAAUUUCUAUGGGCAAAUGACCUCAGGCCUCCCACCAAACAGAUGAAUUAAUUACAAUGAAUGGUGGAUGUCUUGUAUGACACAAUAAUUCAAUAUGGCUUAAAUCAAUACCUACAUGGCAUCUAAGACAUUUAAUACCUAAGGCAAAUGUGUAAAUAUAUGUGUAUUUUUCUACUGUUGAGUUGUAUAGGUUGUUAGUAUAUUUUAGAGAUUAAGCUCUUGUCUGUUGCAUUGUUUGAAACUAUUUUCUCCCAUUCUCCCAUUCUUUAAGUUGUCUUUUAGGGUUUUUUUUUUUAUGGUUUCCUUUUCUGUGCAAAAGCUUGUCAGUUUGAUUAGGUCACAUUGGUUUAUUUUUGCUUUUAUUUCUGUUGCUUUGGGAGACUGACCUGAGAAAACAUUUGUAAGGUUUGUGUCAGAGAAUGUUUUGAGUAUGUUCUCUUCUAGGAGUUUAAUGGUGUCUUGUCUUACACUAUUCACAACAGCCAAGACAUGGAAACAACCUAAACAUCCAUUGACAGAUGAUUGAACUAAGAAGAUGUGGUAUAUACACACAAUGGAAUACUACUCAGCCAUAAAAAAGAACAAAAUAGGGAGUUCCUGUUGUGGUGCAGUGGUUAAUGAAUCCGACUAGGAACCAUGAGGUUGUGGGUUCGAUCCCUGGCCUUGCUCAGUGGGUUAAGGACCUGGCGUUGCCGUGAGCUGUGUGUAGGUUGCAGACGCGGCUCAGAUCCUACGUUGCUGUGGCUCUGGUGCAGGCUGGCAGCUACAGCUCCAAUUAGACCCCUAGCCUGGGAACCUCCACAUACCAUGAGAGCGGCCCUAGAAACGGCAAAAAGACCAAAAAAAAAAAAAAAAAGAACAAAAUAAUGCCAUUUGCAGCGACAUGGAUGGAACUAGAGAGUCUCAUACUAAGUGAAGUAAGUCAGAAAAAGAAAGAUGAAUACCAUAUGAUAUCACUUCUAUCUAGAAUCUAAUAUAAGGCACAAAUGAACCUUUCCACAGAAAAGAAAAUCAUGGACUUGUGGGUGCCAAGGGGGAGGGGGGGGAAGGGAGUGGGAUGGACUGGGAAUUUGGGGUUAAUAGAUCAAACUGUUGCCUUUGGAGUGGGUAAGCAAUGAGAUCCUGCUGUAUAGCAUGGGAACUAUGUCUAGUCACUUAUGAUGGUGCAAUGAUAAUAUGAGAAAAAGAAUGUAUAUAGGUAUGUGUAACUGGAUCACCUUGCUGUACAGUAGAAAAUUGGCAGAACACUGUAAACCAGCUAUAAUGGAAAAAACGAAAAUCAUUAUAAAUGAAAAAAAAUAGGAAAAAAAUGUUAGUAUUUGACUUGAUAUAUAAAAAUCCCAAACGAACGUUUAUGAUCCUAGGCUUUUAAGGUCACAUUUUAACUGAAUGUCCCUCUUUCCCCUUGAUGUAUCCUGAUUGCCCUUAAAAAUCAAUAAGAUAUAUGAACUAGUUAAAAUGCCUACUUUUCUUAGGAACAGAAUUAGUUGAACAAAGCUUUGUUUUAGGGGAAAUGCAUUGCAAUUAAGGGGUAAAGAAAAAUGGUAAAGAAAAUAAGAGUAUUUUUCUACCUCAGACAUAUCAACACCUCUGUGCAAGGGCAUUUUUGUUUUUGUUUUUUCCACAUCUCUGUUCCUAAGGAGCCACAGUUUCACUCGAGACCCAACUGCACUAUGUUCAGUUUCCUCAGUCCUUCAGGGAGUGACAAGGGGGUAGAUUGAGCAAUGGCCUCUGAGUAGAAAGCACUCCCUUUCUUGCUUUCUGUUCACCUUCACUACUUUAUUCUCUAAGCUGGCCUUCCGUUUUUGUUGUUGUCUUUCAAAUUGAUUUGGGGGAGUUCCCAUCGUGGCGAAGUGGUUAAUGAAUCUGACUGGUAACCAUGAGGUUGCGAGUUCGAUGCCUGCCUCAUUCAGUGGGUUAAGGAUCUGGCGUUGCCGUGAGCUGCGGUGUAGGUUGCAGACGCGGUUCAGAUCCCGUUGCUGUGGCUCUGGCAUAGGCUGGUGGCUACAGCUCCGAUUAGACCGCUGGCCUGGGAAUCUCCAUAUGCCAUGGGAGCAGCCCUAGAAAAAGCAAAAAGAGAAAAAAAAAAAAAAAACCCAAACAAACAAACAAAAUUGAUUUGAGGAUCAUUUUUUUGUCAUUCCCUUGCAAUUUUGCUAAUAUCUCAAAAUACGCAUUUAUAGACAAGUGUGCAGGUACAGCAUUGUGCGAUGAAACUCCUACCCUCUGCUUUUCUAAAGGAUAAACAGCAAGCUUUCACACUGUAAAACAGACACAAUCUAUUGAGCAGAAUAAGACUGAUCUCAAACCCUGACACUAUCAUUUGCUUGAAUCUAUAUGUGUUUAGAAACCAUAGGAAACCUGCCCCAAUCAUUUUUUUCCCCUUGAAAUUACACAGUACAACAGAAGUCAGACAACAGAAUUAGAUGAAGCAUUAUGGAGCAACCUGUUGCUGAGAGUUCCAUUCAAAAACUGUGCAACAGCACAUCUGACCUGAAAAUAGAGAUGUGCUCAGGACUAAAGAUGGAACUAUCACUCCUAUGAGAUCUUAGAAGUCUGAUAAAAUACCCAAACCUUACUAAUUGGUACUUUUUUACAAAAUACAUUUGUUACUAGAAUAAUUGUGAAUAUUUCUCACAAUAUAAAUGUUGAGGAGAGAGCUACCACUGGGUCAGAUUUUCUGUAAGUUUUUAUCAUGUUUUGUAUCCAGUAGGGGUUGGGUCCACCAUCUAUACUCCUUGGAGCUCCUGUGACUCGUGGACCUGUCUGG